rnacentral:lncRNA from 1 species
UUUCUUGAUUGUUACACAAAAGUUGUUUUUGUUUUGUGUUGUUUUGUUUUGUUUUGUUUUGGACAAGACAAAGUUCUCAUGCCAAACCUAGUCUGUUUGUUCCUGAAGGAAGCCAUCAUGCCCUGCAGCUUCAGUCCUUACCAUGUGCCGUCUGCAGUGCCCAACACCGCACAUUCCAGUGAGCCGGGACCGUCUAGGAAAACCGCAAAGCUCCUUCAGGAAAACAGUUCUAUAGACAGUAGAAAACAAUCAGUCUUCUCUUUAACGAUUUCUUCAAAGUACUUCUGGAAAACAGCCACUCUGAUGUCUACCCUAGAUUCUAAGGAUUCCAUUAGAUUUCUUACUACACCGGUUGCUAUCUGGACUUCUUCACCUUUGGUUAUGGAUGCAGCCAGCUACCUUGUCUUACCUUUGCUCUUGUCCCUUUGUGCGCCACUGACUCUUACAGGGUCUCACUGUGUAGCCCUGGCUGUCCUGGAACUCACCCUGUAUACCAAAGUGAUCUUGAACUCAGAGAUUCUGCCUGCCUCUGCCUCCUGAGUGUGAGCCACUAAGCUCAGUAGCCCAAGCUCCCCUCAGACUCUCCAAAUCAAAGAACCCUGUCCUAGUUUUCCUGAAUCUCUGGGGCUCCAGCUUUGCCUAUGGCUGCUUUAUUGACUGACUUUGCCCCUUACCCCCGUGUAUUUGACACUGCUUCAUCCAGCUCAACUUCUCAAAAAAAUAAAGAAAAAUCGAUCCUUUUUUUCUAGCUCCCAGUAACAGAGUUGACUAGUGAAUUCAAAGCCAGUUUGCAGUUUGGGCCAUAUACUGAGAUUACCUCAAAAAUUGUUUUAAAAAUGCUGGUCAUAGACCACAGAGAUAGCUCAGGGGGUUUCAACACCCUGUGCCAUCAACACAAUGACAGGCAUUCAAUUCCUAGGACCCACUUAGUUCAAGGAGAGCCAAGUCCCGCAAAUGGAUCGUUCACUUCCCACACCUGCACCAAAUAAGUGUAGUAAGUCUUGUGUUUUGCGAGACAAGGUCCCACUAUUUAGCCUUGACUGACCUCCAAGCCACAGAGAUCCAACUGCCUCAGCUCCUCCAUGCUGGGAUUGAAGGCAUGGGCUGCCACAGUCAGCUACUAUUCUUAAAGAAGAGCUGGUCCUUUUAUUGCUUCCAUUUGACACAUGAAGAAAUGAUGUGACACAGUCACGUCCUUAGGUCAGGCAGCUAAUAACAGAGUCAAGGCAGCAGUGAGAUGCCGGACCUGGUACAAUGUAUACUGAGGUCUCUCCAGUUGGCAUUUCUCACGGUGGUAGUGCUGUCUUUAACAGUUGAUGGACCCCAGGGAUCUUUCUACAACUAAGUCUGUACAACCUGUAGUUGAGUCAAUCCGCGAAGUUUUUAAAGAUGUCACUGUUGAUUACUCAUAUCCUAGCAUUCCGGAGGCUAGCUUAAGUCAUCAGGCUUGGCUGCUUUACCUGCUGAGCUGUCUUAAAGCCCCACCCUUAUUUUUUUAUGCAAAUGUAUUUAUAUGAUGUCUUA